UACGGGGGGGGCAAGCGUUGUUCGGAAUUACUGGGCGUAAAGGGCUCGUAGGCGGCCAACUAAGUCAGACGUGAAAUCCCUCGGCUUAACCGGGGAACUGCGUCUGAUACUGGAUGGCUUGAGUUUGGGAGAGGGAUGCGGAAUUCCAGGCGUAGCGGUGAAAUGCGUAGAUAUCUGGAGGAACACCGGUGGCGAAGGCGGCAUCCUGGACCAACACUGACGCUGAGUGAGCGAAAGCCAGGGGAGCAAACGGG
rnacentral:rRNA from 1 species